GCGCGUUGCRACGGUUCUCGGGUUGCUACUUGACGGUUCGGAUACGGAACAUUCGGUGGGCUUGGGUGUCUCGACACCUUUCGAUGUCCAAAUUCAAGCGUUUUGUCGCUAGACAUGUACGACUGCCACGCUCGCUGCGGGUCUCCCGCGCGGUGCGUGGCGUCGGCAAAGGAAUGCUACCUGGUUGAUCCUGCCAGNAGUCA
rnacentral:misc_RNA from 1 species